rnacentral:rRNA from 1 species
UACGUAGGGGGCAAGCGUUGUUCGGAAUUACUGGGCGUAAAGGGCGCGCAGGCGGCUGCUCAAGUCAGGCGUGAAAGGCCUGGGCUCAACCCGGGAAUUGCGCUUGAGACUGGGCUGGCUUGAGUGCGGGAGAGGAUGGUGGAAUUCCCAGUGUAGAGGUGAAAUUCGUAGAUAUUGGGAAGAACACCGGUGGCGAAGGCGGCUACCUGGACAGAAACUGGCGCUGAGGCGCGAAAGCUAGGGGAGCGAACGGG